rnacentral:rRNA from 1 species
GCCCUUCGGGGUGGAUUAGUGGCGAACGGGUGAGUAACACGUGGGCAAUCUGCCCUUCACUCUGGGACAAGCCCUGGAAACGGGGUCUAAUACCGGAUAACACUCCUCAGAGCAUUCUGGGGGGUUAAAAGCUCCGGCGGUGAAGGAUGAGCCCGCGGCCUAUCAGCUUGUUGGUGGGGUAAUGGCCUACCAAGGCGACGACGGGUAGCCGGCCUGAGAGGGCGACCGGCCACACUGGGACUGAGACACGGCCCAGACUCCUACGGGAGGCAGCAGUGGGGAAUAUUGCACAAUGGGCGAAAGCCUGAUGCAGCGACGCCGCGUGAGGGAUGACGGCCUUCGGGUUGUAAACCUCUUUCAGCAGGGAAGAAGCGAAAGUGACGGUACCUGCAGAAGAAGCGCCGGCUAACUACGUGCCAGCAGCCGCGGUAAUACGUAGGGCGCAAGCGUUGUCCGGAAUUAUUGGGCGUAAAGAGCUCGUAGGCGGCUUGUCACGUCGGAUGUGAAAGCCCGGGGCUUAACCCCGGGUCUGCAUUCGAUACGGGCUAGCUAGAGUGUGGUAGGGGAGAUCGGAAUUCCUGGUGUAGCGGUGAAAUGCGCAGAUAUCAGGAGGAACACCGGUGGCGAAGGCGGAUCUCUGGGCCAUUACUGACGCUGAGGAGCGAAAGCGUGGGGAGCGAACAGGAUUAGAUACCCUGGUAGUCCACGCCGUAAACGUUGGGAACUAGGUGUUGGCGACAUUCCACGUCGUCGGUGCCGCAGCUAACGCAUUAAGUUCCCC